UUGUUGGCAAACAGUUCUGGGGGUCGUCCGAUCCUGCAGAGACCGUCCAGGCUGGACUUGAACUCCUUCCUCGGCUGAAGUGAUCCUCCUGCCUCAGCGUCCUGAAUAGGAAGUGGAGCCAGAAUCCACAGAUGUCAUUAUCCAUCUGCACACUUUGUUUACUACCCAGAAGGCAAGAAUAUUGCAUUUUAAAAGUGCCCGGACUUUUGUUCUUUCUUAUCACAAAUGACUUGGGAAGCUCCGACCACUCAUGUUUACCCCGAGUGAAAGUCCCAUUCAAAGCCUUGCUUCCUGGAGAGCUUUGAGAUUCUGGUACAAAAGGCAUUUUAUAAGCACAAAGUGGAAAAGCAUCAUUCAUAUUCAUUUGCUGCUGCGGCAUUUCUCCCUGGAAUCUUCCUCUUGUCUGUCAACAUUGGGCAAAAGGACUGGCCUCAUCUACAUUACAGAUAUCCUUGUGAUGGUCUGGAGGGACCUGUGGGAGAGGCGGCCAUCCAGAGGGCUCUCUGAGGGGUCAUUUAGAAUGCAACUCUUCUGGGCAGAGGAUGGUCUGCACUGGCCUCCACCACGCAGGAAGGCUUCCAGAGUGGAGAAAUGUCCACUAACAUGGCUUCUGUGAGGUAUCAUUCUGAUCAUUGUUGUUACAGGAGAGAUGAGAGGAAGUUAGAGGGGCUAGAAGAACCAGGAGACCUGUUGAAAAUCAUGAAUACAAAGAGAGGUCGUUUGCUUCUGUGCUUCAAUUCUAUAAUAAAAUGAGUACAAUGUCA
ensembl:lncRNA EDRF1-DT EDRF1 divergent transcript